AGAGUUUGAUCCUGGCUCAGGAUGAACGCUGGCGGCGUGCCUAAUACAUGCAAGUCGAGCGAACGGACGAGAAGCUUGCUUCUCUGAUGUUAGCGGCGGACGGGUGAGUAACACGUGGAUAACCUACCUAUAAGACUGGGAUAACUUCGGGAAACCGGAGCUAAUACCGGAUAAUAUUUUGAACCGCAUGGUUCAAAAGUGAAAGACGGUCUUGCUGUCACUUAUAGAUGGAUCCGCGCUGCAUUAGCUAGUUGGUAAGGUAACGGCUUACCAAGGCAACGAUGCAUAGCCGACCUGAGAGGGUGAUCGGCCACACUGGAACUGAGACACGGUCCAGACUCCUACGGGAGGCAGCAGUAGGGAAUCUUCCGCAAUGGGCGAAAGCCUGACGGAGCAACGCCGCGUGAGUGAUGAAGGUCUUCGGAUCGUAAAACUCUGUUAUUAGGGAAGAACAUAUGUGUAAGUAACUGUGCACAUCUUGACGGUACCUAAUCAGAAAGCCACGGCUAACUACGUGCCAGCAGCCGCGGUAAUACGUAGGUGGCAAGCGUUAUCCGGAAUUAUUGGGCGUAAAGCGCGCGUAGGCGGUUUUUUAAGUCUGAUGUGAAAGCCCACGGCUCAACCGUGGAGGGUCAUUGGAAACUGGAAAACUUGAGUGCAGAAGAGGAAAGUGGAAUUCCAUGUGUAGCGGUGAAAUGCGCAGAGAUAUGGAGGAACACCAGUGGCGAAGGCGACUUUCUGGUCUGUAACUGACGCUGAUGUGCGAAAGCGUGGGGAUCAAACAGGAUUAGAUACCCUGGUAGUCCACGCCGUAAACGAUGAGUGCUAAGUGUUAGGGGGUUUCCGCCCCUUAGUGCUGCAGCUAACGCAUUAAGCACUCCGCCUGGGGAGUACGACCGCAAGGUUGAAACUCAAAGGAAUUGACGGGGACCCGCACAAGCGGUGGAGCAUGUGGUUUAAUUCGAAGCAACGCGAAGAACCUUACCAAAUCUUGACAUCCUUUGACAACUCUAGAGAUAGAGCCUUCCCCUUCGGGGGACAAAGUGACAGGUGGUGCAUGGUUGUCGUCAGCUCGUGUCGUGAGAUGUUGGGUUAAGUCCCGCAACGAGCGCAACCCUUAAGCUUAGUUGCCAUCAUUAAGUUGGGCACUCUAAGUUGACUGCCGGUGACAAACCGGAGGAAGGUGGGGAUGACGUCAAAUCAUCAUGCCCCUUAUGAUUUGGGCUACACACGUGCUACAAUGGACAAUACAAAGGGCAGCGAAACCGCGAGGUCAAGCAAAUCCCAUAAAGUUGUUCUCAGUUCGGAUUGUAGUCUGCAACUCGACUACAUGAAGCUGGAAUCGCUAGUAAUCGUAGAUCAGCAUGCUACGGUGAAUACGUUCCCGGGGUCUUGUACACACCGCCCGUCACACCACGAGAGUUUGUAACACCCGAAGCCGGUGGAGUAACCUUUUAGGAGCUAGCCGUCGAAGGUGGGACAAAUGAUUGGGGUGAAGUCGUAACAAGGUAGCCGUAUCGGAAGGUGCGGCUGGAUCACCUCCUUU
rnacentral:rRNA from 1 species